GACGAACGCUGGCGGCGUGCUUAACACAUGCAAGUCGAACGGAAAGGCCCUGCUUUUGUGGGGCGCUCGAGUGGCGAACGGGUGAGUAACACGUGAGUAACCUGCCCUUGACUUUGGGAUAACUUCAGGAAACUGGGGCUAAUACCGGAUAGGAGCUCCUGCUGCAUGGUGGGGGUUGGAAAGUUUCGGCGGUUGGGGAUGGACUCGCGGCUUAUCAGCUUGUUGGUGGGGUAGUGGCUUACCAAGGCUUUGACGGGUAGCCGGCCUGAGAGGGUGACCGGCCACAUUGGGACUGAGAUACGGCCCAGACUCCUACGGGAGGCAGCAGUGGGGAAUAUUGCACAAUGGGCGGAAGCCUGAUGCAGCAACGCCGCGUGCGGGAUGACGGCCUUCGGGUUGUAAACCGCUUUCGCCUGUGACGAAGCGCGAGUGACGGUAAUGGGUAAAGAAGCACCGGCUAACUACGU
rnacentral:rRNA from 1 species